GGUCUUGUGGUCUAGUGGUAUGAUUCUCGCUUGUGAGUUACACCAAUCAAAAUCAACAGAGGAAAUAAUGAUCAGUAAUACUAACAAAGAAUUAAUAGCGGGAUAAAUAUGCGAGAGGCCCCGAGUUCGAAUCCCGGCAAGACCC